GGUACGUGAGCUGGGUUUAGAACGUCGUGAGACAGUUCGGUCCCUAUCUGGUGUGGGCGUUGGAUGAUUGAGGGGAGCUGCUCCUAGUACGAGAGGACCGGAGUGGACGAACCGCUGGUGUUCGGGUUGUUUUGCCAAAGGCAUUGCCCGGUAGCCAAGUUCGGAAUCGAUAACCGCUGAAAGCAUCUAAGCGGGAAGCGAGCCCCAAGAUGAGUCAUCCCUGCACGUAAGUGCUGGAAGGGUUGUUAUAGACUAUGACGUUGAUAGGCAGGGUGUGGAAGCGUUGCAAGGCGUUAAGCUAACCUGUACUAAUUGCCCGA
rnacentral:rRNA from 1 species